rnacentral:rRNA from 1 species
UACGGAGGGGGCUAGCGUUGUUCGAAUGAUCUGGGCGUAAAGCGCACGUAGGCGGCGAUUUAAGUCAGAGGUGAAAGCCCGGGGCUCAACCCCGGAAUAGCCUUUGAGACUGGAUUGCUAGAAUCUUGGAGAGGCGAGUGGAAUUCCGAGUGUAGAGGUGAAAUUCGUAGAUAUUCGGAAGAACACCAGUGGCGAAGGCGGCUCGCUGGACAAGUAUUGACGCUGAGGUGCGAAAGCGUGGGGAGCAAACAGG